rnacentral:lncRNA from 1 species
UGGCACCCCGGGAAUUGGGUGCGCGUGUAACGCCUCACCCCAAACAUUGGCACUGUAUUUGUCAUACUCCUUUCACACAAUCAGAUCUUCCUGCACAAGCCUUAUGAUGCCCGUUUUACAGAGGGCAAAACUGAGGCCCUAGCAACCUGCUGCCCAGUCCCCAAGGCUGGAGUAAGGGGGAGAUUCCUGUCUGACCAAAGAGGCGCCCCCCUUCCUCUGAGGGUCCCAAAGGACAACUGAGGGAGGGGCGGGAGGUGGGCUGAGGAGGGAGCGUCCGGUGCCUGGGGAAGGAGGCUAGCCAGAGGCUGCUAGUCCUGGAGCAGCCAGAGACCUUGGGAGAGCCGGCCAGACCCUUUGGGGGGUGGGGGGGGGGAUUGGCCUUGACCCUGGCCCCCAGCCCCGCUGGCUCUUACCCGCUCGCCAUGCUUGCUGGGAGGGGAGCCUGGAUGAACCACCGCGGCCAGGUUACCUAGAGCCCCUAGAGUCCGGGCCCCAGGAGCGAGCUGGCCGGCCCACCCCCUCCCCGGAGGGCCAAUCACAAGCCAGGCGGCCAGCCCAAAGGCCAAUCUCUGGGUGCCCCGUCGGCCCGGCCGGCCGCAGGUAAGAAGCUGGUCCCAGAGCGCCUGGCUCCACCUCUCCGAGCUCCCCGGAGAGCGCCCGUCCGCCUUCCCUGGCGGGUGGGAACCCCGCUCCCUGGGGCUCUCCACGAGGGGGGCCGAGUGCGCUCCGGGCGCCUGGGCACCGCGGCGGGGAGGAGCCCAGCCAGGCGUGCUGCGGGGACAGGUCCCUGCUGGAUGCCACCCCACCAGGAAGACCUCACCCUGCGUCCCCUCUCUGGGUUAGCCUGAGUAGCAGCAAUCAAAAGGCAAAACAGGCGAAAGUGACCCAGCUCAGUCUGGCAGAAAAUGCAGCACUGGGUCUCCAUAGCCCACCACCUCUCUGGGGAGAAAAGCUUAGCUUCAUUCUUCAGAACCCUGAUGAUCCCAUUUCAUUCCCCAGCGUUGUUAUGUCCCAGGGGCAGACAGAAGCCUCCAAGAGCUCAGAGCUCGCUUUCUCUCCCUCCCCUCCCCCCUCCCCCUCCUUCUACUGGGUUAGACAGAGAAACAUAUACUUAGUAUCACUCAAACCCAUUCCCAUGUUAUUCAUGUCUGUAAAGGAGCAAUGCUUUACAACCAAGGUCUCUAAUCCUAAACCCAUAUAAACCAGUGAUAAAUCACAUGCUUUCCUCUGCGGUUCUUUCUCUGGAUGUGAAGAGUAUCUUUCUCAUUAGUGCCUGAGGAUUGGUCUGGAUCUUACAUUGUUACUAGUAGAGAAGUCUAUCACAUUUGAUCAUUCCACCAUGUAUCCCUCUCCGUGUACAAGGUUCUCCUGGUGUUGCUCCUCUCACUCUGCAUCAGUUCCUGGAGGUCGUCCCAGUUCACAUGGAAUCCCUCCAGUUCAUCAUUCCUUUCAGCACAAUAGUAUUCUGUCACCAACAUGCACUGAAGAGCCAGCUCCCAAACCCCUUCUUUCCUCUCCCUGGCCCCCUAACCCCAGGAGUUCCUGUGCACUCCCUCUACCAUAAAAGUGUAUAAAAAGCCUGCAAGCCCCAAACUCAGAGCUCCAGCCAUUUUUAGAGUACUGAGCCCAAACUGCAGUUUGUUUAAUAAACUCCCUCCUGUGUGUUACA